UACGAGGGGGGCAAGCGUUGUUCGGAUUUAUUGGGCGUAAAGGGUGCGUAGGCGGUUUGGCAAGUCUUGUGUGAAAUCUUUGGGCUCAACCCAAAGUCUGCAUAAGAAACUGCCGGGCUUGAGUAUGGGAGAGGUGAGUGGAAUUUCCGGUGUAGCGGUGAAAUGCGUAGAGAUCGGAAAGAACACCAACGGCGAAAGCACUCUGCUGGGCCAACACUGACACUGAGAGACGAAAGCUAGGGGAGCGAAUGGG
rnacentral:rRNA from 1 species